UGGGCAAUAUACAUAUGAUCUUCAACAUCUGUGAAUACAGUGGGUUCCAUGAAGAAACCUACACAGGACACAGGAAAGGCAUAAUUUGUACUUUAUUGACAUUGUCUAUUAGUUGGAGAGGACGGACUGACUACCAGACGAAGGAUGUCCCAAGCAUAUGUCCUUCAAUCAGACGAUGAUCAACAGUUGUUGUUAUAUGUUCAAAGUUAUUGUAUUUUGUAAGUUGUUGAAAAGACCGGUCUAUUAAGUUGUUUGUUUAUGUGUGUGUGUGUGUGUGUGUGUGUGUGUGUGUGUAUGUAUAUAUAUAUAUAUAUAUAUAUAUAUAUAUAUAUAUAAAAAUAUAAAAUCUGGUUGUUAAAGCUUUGCCAGGUCAGUGAGUCCCGAAACAAAGAUGCCAUAUGAUAAGCUCAUGUGUCUAAAAUUCCAGUUGUGCCGUCGGCAAGGGGGCAUGUCACAACCCAGUGAUUUUGGUGCCUCGGCACAGUGGAAUUUUCCCACCACAUGAGAGCCUCUUGCAAAGUAAAGGCUUUCUGUUGCUGCAGAAAACCCCCGGUGCAAGACAGUUCCCGCCAUUCGAAUGUAAAUUUGUGUCCUGCUAUUGGCUAGCUCUAAAUUAUUCCUACGUGGCAGCUAGUAAUUGGCUUGCUGGCUGUUUAAAAUUUUGCGCGACUUCCGCCCAAGUCGGAGAACUUUGAGCAUGCUGCAGAGUGCCUCUGAAGAGAUCUGACUUGUGGCUGAGCUGAUCGAUAGACUGAUCACCUAUCGAUUCUUCUCCCCGUCGCCAAGCGCAAUCCCAGACGUAUCCUUUUCCCUGCCGGCCUGAUUUGUAGACGGACGUGCUGGCUUGAGCCCUGCCAGCUGGAACAACUAACGUAGUUGUUCAGAUGACUGGACCGUUUUCGUUGCAACCGCAAGCGACGUAAAUAAAGUUUUACAACCAUAAA